AUUUCCUCGUAGGAAUCAAAAGAAGAACUUUUUGGUGUGUAGUCGCGGGUCUACUUUGGAUAAAUGUAUAGUGGGACUGGAGGGUGAUGAUGUAGAUGAGGGAGAAGAGGGGCUCGAUGGGUUGCAGUGGUGGUGAUGGUGGUCGUCCGUAACGUCUCCGAUGAUCAAGGUGCAGGAAAGGAUGUGG